CAGUCGCCGCGGUAAUACGUAGGGGGCAAGCGUUAUCCGGAAUUACUGGGUGUAAAGGGAGCGUAGACGGUUAAACAAGUCUGAAGUGAAAUGCCGGGGCUCAACCCCGGAGCUGCUUUGGGAACUGUAGAACUGGAGUGUCGGAGGGGUAAGCGGAAUUCCCAGUGUAGCGGUGAAAUGCGUAGAUAUUGGGAGGAACACCGGCGGCGAAGGCGGCUUACUGGACGACAACUGACGUUGAGGCUCGAAGGCGUGGGUAGCAAACAGGAUUAGAUACCCCCGUAGUCCCUGUCUCUUAUAC
rnacentral:rRNA from 1 species